rnacentral:lncRNA from 1 species
CGCGCGUUGGGGCUGUGAGUUGUGCAACCCAGGGAGGGGGCGCCGGGGCUGCGGCCCGCGGAGAGGGCGCGCGGGCGGGCGCGGCUUGGCGCGGGAGGGCCGCGGUGGCCGCUUCUCCGCGGGCCCCGCCGCCCGCUCGCCGCUUUCUCGCGGGGCUGGCUAUGCCGGGUGGCGGCUCCCAGGCCCAGGCGGGUCGGGCUCCGGAGGUCGAGUCACCGAGCUCCGGUCGCUCAGGUGGGGCCGAGCGGAAAGCCCAGCGCAUCCUCCCCUCGGGCAACGCCGUCCCCGCCGGGAUUUCGGGCGAGGUGAGGCCGGGCUUCCCGGCCCCGCGGCCUAAGGCACCGGUCCCCGCCCGCCCGGGGGCAUAGAUCGCGAACAUGGAGGCGGGCUCGGGCGCCGCGGAUGGAAACGGACACACUGCGCUGCCCCAGCGGCUCAGACUCGCGCGCGCUCGUGGGGCGAGACAUCUCUUGGCAUCUCGGAUCCAGCCCUGGCCAUUCGCUUAACUAUCCAUCCCUCCAUCCAGAUCGCCAGCAACCCCAGGCCGAGCGUCACGAAAGCCCCUCACUCCCCCCUCGUCCCUCCUUCACCCCCAGGCUCCAGUCCAGAUCCCUUUUACACGCUGCGUUCAUUUUAGCUCGGCUGUUCACAUUUUUAACUCCGUAUUAAGAAGUGUUACAAAUAUAACUUGGAGAAAUGAAUCCCGCAUUUCUUCCCUAAGCUGUCUCAUUUCAAGUCCUUAAAAACAGCCCUAACAUCCAAGUACUGAUUACUCUGUCUGGGGUUCUUGCCAUUUGGUUAUCCGUUAACAAUCUCGGUUUGUGUUCGGUGUUUUGUGAUAAAGAGAUGAAAGACGAAUCCAGAUUUAGGAAAAGUUUUCCUAUUGGUUGACAAG